rnacentral:rRNA from 1 species
UACGUAGGAUGCAAGCGUUGUUCGGAAUUACUGGGCGUAAAGAGUACGUAGGCGGUAUGGUAAGUCUGAUAUUAAAGACUGAGGCUUAACUUCAGGAGUGUAUCGGAAACUGCCAGACUAGAGGACAAUAGAGGAAGUCGGAAUUCUCAGUGUAGCGGUGAAAUGCGUAGAUAUUGGGAAGAACACCAGUGGCGAAAGCGGACUUCUGGGUUGUUACUGACGCUGAGGUACGAAAGCGUGGGGAGCAAACGGG